AACAAACGCUGGCGGCGUGCCUAACACAUGCAAGUCGUACGAGAAGGGGUCCUUCGGGGCCUGAGUAAAGUGGCGCACGGGCGAGUAACGCGUGGAUAAUCUGCCCUUCAGUUGGGAAUAACUCAUCGAAAGGUGGGCUAAUACCGAAUAAUGCUGUGAGACCUCGGUUGAUCAGCCAAAGAGAGCCUCUGCUUGCAAGCCCUCGCUGAAGGAUGAGUCCGCGUACCAUUAGCUAGUUGGUAGGGUAAUGGCCUACCAAGGCGACGAUGGUUAGCUGGUCUGAGAGGAUGAUCAGCCACACUGGAACUGAGACACGGUCCAGACUCCUACGGGAGGCAGCAGUGAGGAAUCUUGCGCAAUGGGGGCAACCCUGACGCAGCAACGCCGCGUGAGUGAGGAAGGUCUUCGGAUCGUAAAGCUCUGUCGGAUGGAAAGAACCGCAUAGGGGUUAACAGCCCCUGUGUCUGACGGUACCAUCAAAGGAAGCACCGGCUAACUCCGUGCCAGCCGCCGCAGUAACAC
rnacentral:rRNA from 1 species